rnacentral:rRNA from 1 species
ACCCGCUGAACUUAAGCAUAUCAAUAAGCGGAGGAAAAGAAACCAACAGGGAUUGCCUCAGUAACGGCGAGUGAAGCGGCAACAGCUCAAAUUUGAAAUCUGGCUCCUCCGGGGUCCGAGUUGUAAUUUGUAGAGGAUGCUUUUGGGCAGCCACCGGUCUAAGUUCCUUGGAACAGGACGUCACAGAGGGUGAGAAUCCCGUACGUGGCCGGAAGGGCACCCUUCGUAAAGCUCCUUCGACGAGUCGGGUUGUUUGGGAAUGCAGCCCUAAAUUGGAGGUAAAUUUCUUCUAAAGCUAAAUACCGGCCAGAGACCGAUAGCGCACAAGUAGAGUGAUCGAAAGAUGAAAAGCACUUUGGAAAGAGAGUUAAAAAGCACGUGAAAUUGUUGAAAGGGAAGCGCUUGCAAUUAGUCUCGACGGCGUCUGUUCACCCGGUCUUCUGACCGGUCACUCGGACGCCGCCGGGCCAGCAUCAGUUUCGGCGGCCGGAUAAAGGCCGUGGGAAUGUAGCUCCUCGGAGUGUUAUAGCCCGCGGUGUAAUACGGCCAGCCGGGACUGAGGUCCGCGCUUCGGCUAGGAUGCUGGCAAAAUGGUUGUAAGCGGCCCGUCUUGAAACACGG